rnacentral:RNase_P_RNA from 1 species
GCCACAAACCGCUCUGUCGCCUUUCGGGGAGGAAAGUCCGGACAACACAGAGCAUCGCACCGCCUAACAGGCGGAGUUCCCGAAGCAGUUCGGGGGCAUAGAAAGUGUCGCAGAAAAUAACCGUCCCGGGCUAGUUCCGGGGUAAGGGUGAAAACGUGCGGUAAGAGCGCACGACCGCGGCGGGUAACCGCAACGGGGGAUAAACCUUGCGAGUUGAAAUGCCAUGUACACCUUGUAAUUGUGCGGCUCGUACAGUUCCGAGCAAUCGGAAGCAAGGGGGGUAGGCAGCGCAGAUCCCGAGCGAUCGGGACCAGAUAAAUGACAGAGACUCCGGCUUGCCGGAGGACAGAAUCCGGCUUACAGGUUUGUGGUUUUU